ensembl:lncRNA
GCCUACCUGGCUUUUAACAAGACUUUUAAAGAGUGUAUUCUUUGUUCAUCAGAUACAUACCUGGAAAUGUAAUUAUAAUUAUCUACUAACACAAACAAACGAGACAGCAAAUGAUAAGUGAGCCAACAGCAUUUUCGACACGGUGUCCCCUGCGGGUAUAAGGACUCAUCUGAUGAAGUACAACCUUUCUUUGGAUGUCUUCCGAUAAAGCACAUUUUUCUCCUGUCAAUUAGACCUUGGUUAGUCCGAGGCAUUUCGCAACUCCCCGCUGAGCACAAUGUGUGCCAUCUCCAGGGCAAUACUGCGACCGUGGUCCUGGAAGCUGUGGGAGGGCUCUGGUCCUUCAGUGAGGAGCCGCUCCAUUAGCUUCGGAUGCAGGUCGCCAUGGUGAUGGAUGGCUGUCCCGGAGCUCCAAACGGCCUGAGUGAUGGAUCUGUUAGCCACACAAGCGGACACUGGACCGAAGACCCGCC